rnacentral:rRNA from 1 species
UACGGAGGGUGCAAGCGUUAUCCGGAUUCACUGGGUUUAAAGGGUGCGUAGGUGGGUUUGUAAGUCAGUGGUGAAAUCUCCGUGCUUAACAUGGAAACUGCCAUUGAUACUAUAGAUCUUGAAUUUUCUGGAGGAUAGCGGAAUAUGUCAUGUAGCGGUGAAAUGCUUAGAUAUGACAUAGAACACCAAUUGCGUAGGCAGCUUACUACACGAUCAUUGACGCUGAGGCACGAAAGCGUGGGGAGCAAACAGG